rnacentral:rRNA from 1 species
GUGUCAGCCGCCGCGGUAAUACGUAGGUGGCGAGCGUUGUCCGGAUUUACUGGGCGUAAAGGGUGCGUAGGCGGAUAUUUAAGUGGGAUGUGAAGACCCCGGGCUUAACCUGGGGACUGCAUUUCAAACUGGAUAUCUGGAGUGCAGGAGAGGAAAGCGGAAUUCCUAGUGUAGCGGUGAAAGGAGUAGAGAUUAGGAAGAACACCAGUGGCGAAGGCGGCUUUCUGGACUGAAAUUGACGCUGAGGCACGAAAGCGUGGGUAGCAAACAGGAUGAGAGACCCUGGUAGUCAACGCCGUAAACGAUGAGUACUAGGUGUAGGAGGUAUCGACCCCUGCUGUGCCGCAGUAAACGCAAUAAGUACUCCGCCUGGGAAGUACGAUCGCAAGAUUAAAACUUAAAUGAAUUGGCGG